rnacentral:rRNA from 1 species
GUCGAACGGAAGCAAUUGGAGUUUACUUUAAUUGCUUUAGUGGCGGACGGGUGAGUAACACGUGAGCAACCUGCCUUUCAGAGGGGGAUAACGUUUGGAAACGAACGCUAAUACCGCAUAAAAUAUCCAGCAGGCAUCUGCAGGAUAUCAAAGGAGUAAUCCGCUGAAAGAUGGGCUCGCGACCGAUUAGCUAGAUGGUGAGGUAACGGCUCACCAUGGCGACGAUCGGUAGCCGGACUGAGAGGUUGACCGGCCACAUUGGGACUGAGACACGGCCCAGACUCCUACGGGAGGCAGCAGUGAGGGAUAUUGGGCAAUGGGGGAAACCCUGACCCAGCGACGCCGCGUGAGGGAAGACGGUCUUCGGAUUGUAAACCUCUGUCUUUGGGGACGAAAAAGGACGGUACCCAAGGAGGAAGCUCCGGCUAACUACGUGCCAGCAGCCGCGGUAAUACGUAGGGAGCGAGCGUUGUCCGGAAUUACUGGGUGUAAAGGGAGCGUAGGCGGGAUUGCAAGUUGGAUGUGAAAACUGCGGGCUCAACCCGGAGCGUGCAUUCAAAACUGCGAUUCUUGAGUGAAGUAGAGGCAAGCGGAAUUCCUAGUGUAGCGGUGAAAUGCGUAGAUAUUAGGAGGAACACCAGUGGCGAAGGCGGCUUGCUGGGCUUUUACUGACGCUGAGGCUCGAAAGUGUGGGGAGCAAACAGGAUUAGAUACCCUGGUAGUCCACACUGUAAACGAUGAUUACUAGGUGUGGGGGCGUCA